rnacentral:rRNA from 1 species
UACGUAGGGUGCGAGCGUUUGUCCGGAAUUACUGGGCGUAAAGAGCUCGUAGGUGGUUUGUCGCGUUUGUUCGUGAAAACCGGGGGCUUAACCCUCGGCGUGCGGGCGAUACGGGCAGACGUUGAGUACUGCAGGGGAGACUGGAAUUCCUGGUGUAGCGGUGGAAUGCGCAGAUAUCAGGAGGAACACCGGUGGCGAAGGCGGGUCUCUGGGCAGUAACUGACGCUGAGGAGCGAAAGCGUGGGGAGCGAACAGG